UUUCAGCUAUAGAUGCUGAGAUAACUAAAGAGGCACACCUCAUUGCCUUCAGUGCGGAAGUGUUUUGUGCAACUCCAAUCAAAAAGGCAGACAAAGUAGAGUAACGCGAUUUUCGCGCUAUUCCUUCGUGGCAUACAAUACCGUUAUUCC
rfam:Bartonella bacilliformis KC583, complete genome.